AAUUCUUCUGUAAAAAGAUUAUGUACAAAUACAUAUGAUAAGUAGAGUAGGGCUAGAAUACUUUUACAAGUAUCACCCAAGUGAUACUUGUGUGUUUUUAGCCCUUGGAUGGAAAGAUGUGAAGUUGAGAUGAUGGGAGUAGGUGGUGGUAGGUGGAAUAAUGUUUGAUCCAAGGGCUAUUUGUAAUCAAAAAGCAGAUCCAAUGGUUAAAAACGUGAUAGCAACAUGGGGAUGAUACUUGUAAAAGUAUCAUAGAUGAACUCUGAUAAGUAAAUUAAUAAAGUCCAAACCUU
rnacentral:lncRNA from 1 species